UUAUCUGUGUUUCAAAUAUAGAAAAAAUAGAACGGCAAUGUAUACCAGUUUUAAAUUUGACAGUAGAACUGGUCGAAUAAUUAAAACUAAAACGGAUUGCUGGGGAUACGUUUGUUUCAGUUUCAUUUACAUUAUAGACCACCCAUAUGAAUCUUGCAGCUGCUGAAGUUGCUCUAAGCGGGACAGUAGUUUCAAAUUUGUGUUUUUUCUUUCAUUUGCCCUUUCAGUCAUUUGCAGUUUUCAGUGAAAAUUCCAUAGUAUGCAGUGUCGAUAUUCAACCAAAGCUGUGAGAAUCGAAUACGACAGAAAAAGGUUUCACAAUAAGUUUUAACUGUUGGUGCUCGAAUUUUUAGUAGUUUUGGUUUCCAAAGAAGUUCUGGGAUGUAAUUACUUCGAUUGCCAUAUUUUAGUCACUUUUUAUAGCCAAGCGUCACAUAUUUUCAAUACAUCGAUGAAAGAAUGAGAAUUGAAAUUCUGCUGUUGCUACCUGAAGACGUUAGUUUAGUUUCGUCUUGUCACAGAGGAAAGAAAGACGUUGGCAAUUAUGCUCUCUCAUUUUUUCGAUGAGAAACGAAAAUGCUUCGUCUCUCUUCGUUUGUUCUGGUGUCGGUCAUUUACGAAUGAGAGUAAAACAUGGGAAAUGAGACUGUUGGAAUGGUUUCUUUCAGCCCGGUGGCAAGGAUAGGACGCUCCAGCAAGUGCUAUCGUAGCCAACAUCUGGGACAUUUGGUGGGCAAUCAGAGCGCUCAGAUUAUGAUAUUCUGAUCGAUAAUUUGCGGGGAAGUGCGGUAAAGGCAACUGAAUAAACAAAAUGAUGCUGGCCACAGUUACAUGACGUCAUAGCAGAGGACUGGUUUCUUUCAUUGAGAAUGCGUGACAUUUUUAAGCUCUGACCAGAGAUGCCAUUUAUACAGAUUUAUCUGUAUUAUACAGAUUUUUAUAUCCUCAUACAGAUCUGAUACAGAAUACAGAUGUUAUACAGAUUCCCUAAAUUUAAUACAGAUUUGUACAGAUUUCACAAGAAGUAAUAAAGAAAAAUUAAACUGUUUUCGUAUGAACUAUCUUUUAGUAUUUGAUUGC